UAAAUGCAGGUACUUUGCUUGCAGGAAUUUGGAUUUCGUCACCAGUUUGUGGGUUACGGCCCUUACGAGCUGCACGUUCACGUACUUCAAAGUUACCAAAUCCGAUCAGUUGAACUUUUUCACCCUUUGCAAGAGUGUCUUGGAUUGA
rnacentral:misc_RNA from 1 species